GAUGAACGCUGGCGGCGUGCCUAAUACAUGCAAGUCGAGCGAACAGAUGAAGAGCUUGCUCCGCUGUAGUUAGCAGCGGACGAGUAAGUCACACGUGGAUAACCUACCUCUAAGACUGGGACCACUUCGGGAGACCGGAGCAACUACCGGAUAAUCUUUUGAACUGCAUGGUUCAGUAGUGAAAGAUGGUUUUUGUGUCAGUUUUCGAUGGAUCCGCGGCUCAUUAGCUUGUUGGUGGGGUAACGGCUCACCAAGGCGCCGACGGGUAGCCGGCCUGAGAGGGUGACCGGCGACACUGGGACUGAGACACGGCACAGACUCCUACGGGAGGCAGCAGUGGGGAAUAUUGCACAAUGGGCGAAAGUCUGAUGCAGCGACGCCGCGUGAGGGAUGACGGCCUUCGGGUUGUAAACCUCUUUCAGUAGGGAAGAAGCGAAAGUGACGGUACCUGCAGAAGAAGCACCGGCUAACUACGUG
rnacentral:rRNA from 1 species